rnacentral:rRNA from 1 species
AUACGUAGGGGGCAAGCGUUGUCCGGAAUUACUGGGCGUAAAGGGCGUGUAGGCGGCCGAGCAAGUCAAGUGUGAAAAGCCCCGGCUCAACCGAGGCAUUGCACAUGAAACUGCUUGGCUUGAGUGCAGGAGAGGGAAGUGGAAUUCCUAGUGUAGCGGUGAAAUGCGUAGAUAUUAGGAGGAACACCAGUGGCGAAGGCGACUUCCUGGACUGUAACUGACGCUGAGGCGCGAAAGCGUGGGUAGCAAACAGGAUUAGAUACCCUGGUAGUCCACGCCGUAAACGAUGGGUACUAGGUGUGGGUAGUUCACUCUAUCCGUGCCGCAGCAAACGCAAUAAGUACCCCGCCUGGGGAGUACGGCCGCAAGGUUGAA